rnacentral:rRNA from 1 species
GGUUAAGCGACUAAGCGUACACGGUGGAUGCCCUGGCAGUCAGAGGCGAUGAAGGACGUGCUAAUCUGCGAUAAGCGUCGGUAAGGUGAUAUGAACCGUUAUAACCGGCGAUUUCCGAAUGGGGAAACCCAGUGUGUUUCGACACACUAUCAUUAACUGAAUCCAUAGGUUAAUGAGGCGAACCGGGGGAACUGAAACAUCUAAGUACCCCGAGGAAAAGAAAUCAACCGAGAUUCCCCCAGUAGCGGCGAGCGAACGGGGAGGAGCCCAGAGCCUGAAUCAGUGUGUGUGUUAGUGGAAGCGUCUGGAAAGGCGUGCGAUACAGGGUGACAGCCCCGUACACAAAAAUGCACAUACUGUGAGCUCGAUGAGUAGGGCGGGACACGUGGUAUCCUGUCUGAAUAUGGGGGGACCAUCCUCCAAGGCUAAAUACUCCUGACUGACCGAUAGUGAACCAGUACCGUGAGGGAAAGGCGAAAAGAACCCCGGCGAGGGGAGUGAAAAAGAACCUGAAACCGUGUACGUACAAGCAGUGGGAGCCUCUUUAUGGGGUGACUGCGUACCUUUUGUAUAAUGGGUCAGCGACUUAUAUUCUGUAGCAAGGUUAACCGAAUAGGGGAGCCGAAGGGAAACCGAGUCUUAACUGGGCGUUAAGUUGCAGGGUAUAGACCCGAAACCCGGUGAUCUAGCCAUGGGCAGGUUGAAGGUUGGGUAACACUAACUGGAGGACCGAACCGACUAAUGUUGAAAAAUUAGCGGAUGACUUGUGGCUGGGGGUGAAAGGCCAAUCAAACCGGGAGAUAGCUGGUUCUCCCCGAAAGCUAUUUAGGUAGCGCCUCGUGAAUUCAUCUCCGGGGGUAGAGCACUGUUUCGGCAAGGGGGUCAUCCCGACUUACCAACCCGAUGCAAACUGCGAAUACCGGAGAAUGUUAUCACGGGAGACACACGGCGGGUGCUAACGUCCGUCGUGAAGAGGGAAACAACCCAGACCGCCAGCUAAGGUCCCAAAGUCAUGGUUAAGUGGGAAACGAUGUGGGAAGGCCCAGACAGCCAGGAUGUUGGCUUAGAAGCAGCCAUCAUUUAAAGAAAGCGUAAUAGCUCACUGGUCGAGUCGGCCUGCGCGGAAGAUGUAACGGGGCUAAACCAUGCACCGAAGCUGCGGCAGCGACACUGUGUGUUGUUGGGUAGGGGAGCGUUCUGUAAGCCUGCGAAGGUGUACUGUGAGGUAUGCUGGAGGUAUCAGAAGUGCGAAUGCUGACAUAAGUAACGAUAAAGCGGGUGAAAAGCCCGCUCGCCGGAAGACCAAGGGUUCCUGUCCAACGUUAAUCGGGGCAGGGUGAGUCGACCCCUAAGGCGAGGCCGAAAGGCGUAGUCGAUGGGAAACAGGUUAAUAUUCCUGUACUUGGUGUUACUGCGAAGGGGGGACGGAGAAGGCUAUGUUGGCCGGGCGACGGUUGUCCCGGUUUAAGCGUGUAGGCUGAUUUUCCAGGCAAAUCCGGAAAAUCAAGGCUGAGGCGUGAUGACGAGGCACUACGGUGCUGAAGCAACAAAUGCCCUGCUUCCAGGAAAAGCCUCUAAGCAUCAGGUAACAUCAAAUCGUACCCCAAACCGACACAGGUGGUCAGGUAGAGAAUACCAAGGCGCUUGAGAGAACUCGGGUGAAGGAACUAGGCAAAAUGGUGCCGUAACUUCGGGAGAAGGCACGCUGAUAUGUAGGUGAAGUCCCUCGCGGAUGGAGCUGAAAUCAGUCGAAGAUACCAGCUGGCUGCAACUGUUUAUUAAAAACACAGCACUGUGCAAACACGAAAGUGGACGUAUACGGUGUGACGCCUGCCCGGUGCCGGAAGGUUAAUUGAUGGGGUUAGCGGUAACGCGAAGCUCUUGAUCGAAGCCCCGGUAAACGGCGGCCGUAACUAUAACGGUCCUAAGGUAGCGAAAUUCCUUGUCGGGUAAGUUCCGACCUGCACGAAUGGCGUAAUGAUGGCCAGGCUGUCUCCACCCGAGACUCAGUGAAAUUGAACUCGCUGUGAAGAUGCAGUGUACCCGCGGCAAGACGGAAAGACCCCGUGAACCUUUACUAUAGCUUGACACUGAACAUUGAGCCUUGAUGUGUAGGAUAGGUGGGAGGCUUUGAAGUGUGGACGCCAGUCUGCAUGGAGCCGGCCUUGAAAUACCACCCUUUAAUGUUUGAUGUUCUAACGUUGGCCCCUAAUCGGGGUUGCGGACAGUGUCUGGUGGGUAGUUUGACUGGGGCGGUCUCCUCCUAAAGAGUAACGGAGGAGCACGAAGGUUGGCUAAUCCUGGUCGGACAUCAGGAGGUUAGUGCAAUGGCAUAAGCCAGCUUGACUGCGAGCGUGACGGCGCGAGCAGGUGCGAAAGCAGGUCAUAGUGAUCCGGUGGUUCUGAAUGGAAGGGCCAUCGCUCAACGGAUAAAAGGUACUCCGGGGAUAACAGGCUGAUACCGCCCAAGAGUUCAUAUCGACGGCGGUGUUUGGCACCUCGAUGUCGGCUCAUCACAUCCUGGGGCUGAAGUAGGUCCCAAGGGUAUGGCUGUUCGCCAUUUAAAGUGGUACGCGAGCUGGGUUUAGAACGUCGUGAGACAGUUCGGUCCCUAUCUGCCGUGGGCGCUGGAGAACUGAGGGGGGCUGCUCCUAGUACGAGAGGACCGGAGUGGACGCAUCACUGGUGUUCGGGUUGUCAUGCCAAUGGCACUGCCCGGUAGCUAAAUGCGGAAGAGAUAAGUGCUGAAAGCAUCUAAGCACGAAACUUGCCCCGAGAUGAGUUCUCCCUGACCCUUUAAGGGUCCUGAAGGAACGUUGAAGACGACGACGUUGAUAGGCCGGGUGUGUAAGCGCAGCGAUGCGUUGAGCUAACCGGUACUAAUGAACCGUGAGGCUUAACCUU